rnacentral:lncRNA from 1 species
UGAUCUUUAAUUUCAUAUGCAUAUUAAAAAAUAUUUUGAGUGGCAAUUUUGGAGUGACAAAAUAUUAAAUAUUUCCACGCAAGAAAAGAAAAUAUAGGGAAAGAAAAAAAGAAAAAAUAAAUAAUAGUCUAUCUAAUUAAUCGCGCCAUCAUUCAUUGUGUAACAAAAUUAGUAUCACAAAUACAGGAGCAAAUUUUUAAGUAAACUCUCGCACUCAAUAGCAAAACCAGAAACAUCCCAAUUACUGUGUCUCAAACAAUCUUGAAACAAAACAGAAAACACAACAAAAUGUAAAUUAAUUCUUGAAAAAAAGAAAGAAAGUGUUGUUAAGAUUUCUUAAUGCAGGGAAUCUAUGUUCUUGCUAAGCUCCUCCAGUUUCUUCAGUCUCAAUUUCUCACUUUCAGUUACCAACUGUCCAAUAAUUUAUCAUCAAAAAAAUGACAACAAAAAUAUAGCCACAAUUCAAAAAACUGAAAAAAAAAAAGUAGUGGAAUUUACCUCAACUAGUUUGGUUAUCAGCUGUCCCUUUUCCCUGUUCUUAUCAGUAAAAGCUUCGAGGGCCUCUUUGUAUUCUUUUUC